CCGCCAAUCAAUGUGAGAUUCGCAGGCACCGGAAGUAUUGCUUAGUAGCGUUGCUCGAAAAUACUAGCAAGAUAAUCAAGUUAAGAGCGUGUGUCUACGUAUGCCGUUCAAUGAAACGUUUAUGUUUUACUUGCAGGUUGGAGCUCAUCCCUUGCGGUGCAUGUGGGAGUGGAUCGUGUUCCUCGGCAACUUUCCUGCGGUUUUGAGCCUCACUCAUUUGUAGCCUGUGGAGCCCCAAGGAGAACCCACAUGUAUUACCUUGUGAGGGCAACAGUAUGCCUGGGUUUGGAAUCGCUAGUCUCAAGCACAUCUGAAAUCAUCACUGCACCACCCACACAAGGAUCACCAAGAGCUUCAAGGGCUGGCACUCCUCUGAUGCUCUUGCUUGUGAUAAGGAUGACGACGAUCUCAAACUGCUCGUUCGUGAGGGAGCGCUGGGACAGGUCAAAGAAGGGGCUCUUGGGAUUGAUCUCGUGGCAGAUGGUGAGGGGAGACACCAGGAAAAGCUGGUCCGCCCCGGUCCCAAAGCCCACGUCCAGCUCGCACUGGUCCAGGGGCAGGAACUCUCCUUCUGGGGUCUGCCGCGACUGGAAACAACAAGUUUGAGUCAACACAGGAAGAACAAGAUGAACCAUCUGCAAGACGGGCUCAGUUUUACUCUCACCCCACCAGAUGAGGAGAGUCAUGAGGAUACUCAACAACAACGCAUUUCAAUUUCUUUUCAUCCUGCUGUCCUGCGGAGAGUCUCUGGCCAGUGAUUUUCACCUGUCAAUCACUUUCUCUCUCUCACCAAAGUGUGGGCAGUUAACCACAUUAUAUGGGUUGUGCUGUGUGAUGCACAGCAUGUUCACUUAGGAUCCUGUUCAGACUUGGCAGAGUUGCAGAAGCACUAGCUUUUUUGCUAAAUGAAAGUAACACGUAUUCUCAGGAGGCAUUCAAAAUUGCUUUGCACAAAUGCUUAUCUUCCAUAUUGGGUGGUGCUUCUUUGUGCUUACUGGAAAACAUGAAUGUAUUCAGGGAAAGCACAUGGCCGAGAACGGGUAGACAAAACUACCGCCAGUGGAAUUCCACUUACAGUAAACUACAUUUCUAGGAUCUCCAGCUCCUCUAAGCACAGAGGAAACUUCAAUAAUGAAAACGUACAGCAUUAAAGUAGUCAUGAGAUCAAUAGAUGGCCUCACUGCUCAUUUCCUGUAAAAUAUCACCGUCAGUUGCCACUGUAAAGCUGAACAGUAUUCGAAAAAAAAAACAAAAAAACUCUGCAUUAACGGUAAAUAAGUAUUGUAUGCGGGAAUCCAUAUUAGGGAUUGUCUUCGACGGGCCCAUUUGGAAUAUUGGCAUAUCAAACAAAAAGCGUACUCUGUGUGUGUUUAAAAUACUCCAUCUAUGUAAUGGAUUUAAAGUUAAUCUUUUGUUUCUAUUUGGCCAAUGUGAUGAGACUGCAGUCUGCCUCCUCCAGAGGAAAGCCUUUUUAUGUUGAAAUGAGGGGCAAAUUGAUAUUUUAAAUAAUAAAGCUGCACGCCUCCUCAGAGAAUGUGUUUAUCUCCCUCCAAUUUAAACCACAUUGCUUAUUUAGCAUUCUACAGGAAAUGAGACAUUUAAUUGAACUCAUUUGUAGUUGCGCAACAUUACCUGGUGGAGCACAUCAGAUAUUCUGCCUUUAUGAAUAGAAUGCACAUUGGGAAUAAAAAGUACAGAAAUCAGAUUUUGAAUGCACUUAUCUAUGUCUAACAUGGACCAAACCUUCAAAAUUUGCCCCAUGCAUGUAUGUAGCUCCUCUUGACUUGUGUGCCAUUUAAGCACCAAACUAUAAAUUCUCUUAACCUG